rnacentral:rRNA from 1 species
GACGAACGCUGGCGGCGUGCCUAAUACAUGCAAGUAGAACGCACAGUUUAUACCGUAGCUUGCUACACCAUAGACUGUGAGUUGCGAACGGGGGAGUAACGCGUAGGUAACCUGCCUGGUAGCGGGGGAUAACUAUUGGAAACGAUAGCUAAUACCGCAUAAUAUUGAUUAUUGCAUGAUAAUUGAUUGAAAGAUGCUAUUGCAUCACUACUAGAUGGACCUGCGUUGUAUUAGCUAGUAGGUGAGGUAAAGGCCCACCUAGGCGACGAUACAGAGCCGAGCUGAGAGGGUGAUCGGCCCACCUGGGACUGAGACACGGCCCAGGCUCCUACGGGGAGCAGCCGUAGGGAAUCUUCGGCAAUGGACGAAAGUCUGACCGAGCAAAGCCGCGUGAGUGAAGAAGGUUUUCGGAUCGUAAAGCUCUGUUGUAAGAGAAGAACGGGUGUGAGAGUGGAAAGUUCACACUGUGACGGUAUCUUACCAGAAAGGGACGGCUAACUACGUG